UCAAGGAUGAACUUGUCACCAUAGCCCUCUACAUACAUAAUAGUAUGUCCAACUGUGCCAGGGGCGAUUAGGCCUCACCUGGACUCCUCUGAAGUAACUCAUAUCAUAACAUGUCCAACUGUGCCAGGGGCGAUUAGGCCUCACCUGGACUACUCUGAUCUCUGAUCUGACAGACUGUCUGUCUAACUCAUAGUACCAGGAGCGACCUGGCCUAUCCAGGAGCGACCUGGUAUGGCUACCUCAUGCCAUAACUCUGUAUCUGUACUCUGUGCUCUAUCAAGGGCUAAGGAUCAUCCAACAUUCAUCCAUACAAAUAUCAUCUUAUGCAAUGCAUCAAAUUCGUGAAACGAAUGCAAU
rnacentral:lncRNA from 1 species